rnacentral:misc_RNA from 1 species
GUGAAUCAUCAAAUUUUUGAACGCAAAUUGCACUCUCUUCGGAGAGUAUGCCUGUUUGAGGGUCAGCCUAAAAAAAAUCAACUUAGUUCCGUUUACCCGUUAACAUCCGUGGAAAAUGGGUUAAUCUUAAACCUUUGGUUUUAACCGCCUUAAAAUUUUCUUUCCAAUUCAAAGAACGUUCCUAAGUUUUAAUUUCCUUUUCCGUUAAGGGUACCAACCUUUUUU